GAUGAACGCUGGCGGCGUGCCUAAUACAUGCAAGUCGAGCGAACAGACGAGGAGCUUGCUCCUCUGACGUUAGCGGCGGACGGGUGAGUAACACGUGGAUAACCUACCUAUAAGACUGGGAUAACUUCGGGAAACCGGAGCUAAUACCGGAUAAUAUAUUGAACCGCAUGGUUCAAUAGUGAAAGACGGUUUUGCUGUCACUUAUAGAUGGAUCCGCGCCGCAUUAGCUAGUUGGUAAGGUAACGGCUUACCAAGGCAACGAUGCGUAGCCGACCUGAGAGGGUGAUCGGCCACACUGGAACUGGGACGCGGUCCAGACUCCUACGGGAGGCAGCAGUAGGGAAUCGUACGCAAUGGGCGAAAGCCUGACGGAGCAACGCCGCGUGAGUGAUGAAGGUCUUCGGAUCGUAAAACUCUGUUAUUAGGGAAGAACAAAUGUGUAAGUAACUAUGCACGUCUUGACGGUACCUAAUCAGAAAGCCACGGCUAACUACGUG
rnacentral:rRNA from 1 species